UACGUAGGUGACCAGCGUUGUCCGGAUUUACUGGGCGUAAAGAGCGCGCAGGCGGUCGUUCAAGUCGAGUGUGAAAGCCCCCGGCUCAACUGGGGAGGGUCACUCGAUACUGAUCGACUUGAAGGCAGGAGAGGGAAGCGGAAUUCCCUGUGUAGCGGUGAAAUGCGUAGAGAUGGGGGGAGAACACUCGUGGCGAAGGCGGCCAGCUAGACCAGUUCUGACACUGAGGCGCGAUAGCGUGGGGAGCAAACAGG
rnacentral:rRNA from 1 species